ensembl:lncRNA
UUCCCUCCCCAGUGGCGCAGAGCGUGCAGCGAACUCCCAGCUGACUGCCUGGAAAGUUUACCUCACUGGAGUGGAGAUCAGCUCCCUCUUCUGGGCCUGGGUGCGUUGCAGAAAUCAGAGGAGGCCAUUGGUUGUGGAAGAAAGUCAGGUAAAACAAACACCAGAGAGAAAAGCACUCCUAUGGCACAGCUUCGGAAGGAUAGCAAUGGCCGCCUCCGCGAGGAAGGGGGCUGCUUCCCCAGGAAGAGCCUGGGAUUGAAGGAGAACUCAGAGACCCUGGGAGAGAGCAGCCUUUGCUUGCUGAAACUAUUGGAGAGAAGCCUGUGAGGUCAGUGCAAACAGCCUGGCCAUCGCUGCCAGCCAAGCACAGAGAGCUGAAGCUUUGAGGAGGAGCCCUCCAUGCCUGGCUCCACAGGGCAGGAGGGCGCUCGCUUUUCCUUCUGUUUUGGAGCUGAUGGGGGUCAGAGUAUGUCUCUGUUUCUGGCACAAUUGGGCCAGGCCUGAUCUCUAAGGGUGGAUGUUUGGGAUGACGGGGAGAACCACGGAGCUGCUGGGCUGCAGUUUUCACCCUGUCUGUGUGGCAGGUGGAGCCAGGUGAGCUAGUCAUAACCACCCCCCCCACCCCCCCUGUUUGGACUAUCCCCUGGACGCUAGCAGGUCCCCAUGCCUCACACAGAUCUUGCAGGGAUCGACACGAUACCUCGUCCAUGGGUUAUUGUUAUGACAGUGCGCCACCGAUGUCUGAAAGCUGGGAAGGGAUGAGCAAGAGGAUGGU